GAUGAAGAACGCAGCUAAAUGCGAUAAGUAAUGUGAAUUGCAGAAUUCAGUGAAUCAUCGAAUCUUUGAACGCACAUUGCGCCCGUCAGUAUUCUGGCGGGCAUGCCUGUUCGAGCGUCAUUACGCCCCUCAAGUCCCCUGUGGACUUGGUGUUGGGGAUCGGCGAGGCUGGUUUUCCAGCACAGCCGUCCCUUAAAUUAAUUGGCGGUCUCGCCGUGGCCCUCCUCUGCGCAGUAGUAAAACACUCGCAACAGGAGCCCGGCGCGGUCCACUGCCGUAAAACCCCCCAACUUUUUAUAGUUGACCUCGAAUCAGGUAGGACUACCCGCUGAACUUAAGCAUAUCAAUAAGCGGAGGA
rnacentral:misc_RNA from 1 species